AUGAACGCUAGCUACAGGCUUAACACAUGCAAGUCGCGGGGAAACGACAUGAAAAGCUUGCUUUUGAUGGGCGUCGACCGGCGCACGGGUGAGUAACGCGUAUCCAACCUGCCCAUCACUUGGGAAUAACCUUGCGAAAGUAAGACUAAUACCCAAUGAUAUCCCACGAAGGCAUCGGAAUGGGAUUAAAGAUUUAUCGGUGAUGGAUGGGGAUGCGUCUGAUUAGCUUGUUGGCGGGGUAACGGCCCACCAAGGCAACGAUCAGUAGGGGUUCUGAGAGGAAGGUCCCCCACAUUGGAACUGAGACACGGUCCAAACUCCUACGGGAGGCAGCAGUGAGGAAUAUUGGUCAAUGGGCGAGAGCCUGAACCAGCCAAGUAGCGUGCAGGAAGACGGCCCUAUGGGUUGUAAACUGCUUUUAUAAGGGAAUAAAGUGGGUCACGUGUGACUUUUUGCAUGUACCUUAUGAAUAAGGACCGGCUAAUUCCGUG
rnacentral:rRNA from 1 species